UUAUUACAGAUGCAGGGUACCAUCCCUGAUAACACUGCUGUUCAAGAUAUCCCAUAUCUCAGAACCAGGGAUAUGCCACUGCAGCUGACCUUGAGAGUUCACUCUCUAUACCUGCAACUCCUCGUCUGAUACUUCUUGGAGAAACGAGAAGACGCUUCCAGCGCUGGAUGCUCAGCCUUGAGGGCCAAAUUUGCGAAGGGAUCCAGUCCACCUUUGUGACGGGGCUGGCGUCUUUUUUU